CCUACGGGUGGCUGCAGUGGGGAAUAUUGCACAAUGGGCGCAAGCCUGAUGCAGCCAUGCCGCGUGUGUGAAGAAGGCCUUCGGGUUGUAAAGCACUUUCAGCGGGGAGGAAGGCGUUAAGGUUAAUAACCUUGGCGAUUGACGUUACCCGCAGAAGAAGCACCGGCUAACUCCGUGCCAGCAGCCGCGGUAAUACGGAGGGUGCAAGCGUUAAUCGGAAUUACUGGGCGUAAAGCGCACGCAGGCGGUCUGUCAAGUCGGAUGUGAAAUCCCCGGGCUCAACCUGGGAACUGCAUUCGAAACUGGCAGGCUAGAGUCUUGUAGGGGGGGGUAGAAUUCCAGGUGUAGCGGUGAAAUGCGUAGAGAUCUGGAGGAAUACCGGUGGCGAAGGCGGCCCCCUGGACAAAGACUGACGCUCAGGUGCGAAAGCGUGGGGAGCAAACAGGAUUAGAUACCCUUGUAGUC
rnacentral:rRNA from 1 species